GUCCCUUUAACGCAGUGGUUAGCGUGCUGCUCUUAUAUCUACGUAUCUUGAUGCGUAGAGAAUGGCUAGCAAUGCAGAAGUCGCAAGUUCGAUCCUUGCAAGGGACA
rfam:Valsa mali strain 03-8 chromosome 13, whole genome shotgun sequence.